rnacentral:rRNA from 1 species
GACGAACGCUGGCGGCGUGCUUAACACAUGCGAGUCGAACGGAAAGGCCCUGCUUUUGUGGGGUGCUCGAGUGGCGAACGGGUGAGUAACACGUGAGUAACCUGCCCUUGACUUUGGGAUAACUUCAGGAAACUGGGGCUAAUACCGGAUAGGAGCUCCUGCUGCAUGGUGGGGGUUGGAAAGUUUCGGCGGUUGGGGAUGGACUCGCGGCUUAUCAGCUUGUUGGUGGGGUAGUGGCUUACCAAGGCUUUGACGGGUAGCCGGCCUGAGAGGGUGACCGGCCACAUUGGGACUGAGAUACGGCCCAGACUCCUACGGGAGGCAGCAGUGGGGAAUAUUGCACAAUGGGCGGAAGCCUGAUGCAGCAACGCCGCGUGCGGGACGACGGCCUUCGGGUUGUAAACCGCUUUCGCCUGUGACGAAGCGUGAGUGACGGUAAUGGGUAAAGAAGCACCGGCUAACUACGUG